UCCUGGCUCAGAUUGAACGCUGGCGGCAUGCUUUACACAUGCAAGUCGAACGGUAACAGGGAGCUUGCUCCGCUGACGAGUGGCGAACGGGUGAGUAAUGCAUCGGAACAUGCCCAGUCAGUGGGGGAUAACUACGCGAAAGCGUAGCUAAUACCGCAUACGCCCUGAGGGGAAAGUGGGGGGUCUUAGGACCUCACGUGAUUGGAGUGGCCGAUGUCAGAUUAGCUAGUUGGUGAGGUAAAGGCUCACCAAGGCGACGGUCUGUAGCGGGUCUGAGAGGAUGAUCCGCCACACUGGGACUGAGACACGGCCCAGACUCCUACGGGAGGCAGCAGUGGGGAAUUUUGGACAAUGGGCGCAAGCCUGAUCCAGCCAUGCCGCGUGAGUGAAGAAGGCCUUCGGGUUGUAAAGCUCUUUCGGCCGGGAAGAAAUCGCACGGGUUAAUACCCUGUGUGGAUGACGGUACCGGAAUAAGAAGCACCGGCUAACUACGUG
rnacentral:rRNA from 1 species